GCUUCGCUGGUGCAGUGGUAGUUGCACACUUCCCCAGUAUGGAUGAAAUGCGAGAUCGAUUCCCUCAUGAGGCC